GCGCGCCUGCUUCCACCGCAUAUACAGCAAAACUGGCACGGUGCAGAGAAGAUGAGCAUAGGCCCUGCACAAAGAUGACCAGAAAUUCAUACGGUGUUCCACAUGUAA